rnacentral:rRNA from 1 species
GAUGAACGCUGGCGGCGUGCCUAAUACAUGCCAGUCGAGCGAACAGACGAGGAGCUUGCUCCUCUGACGUUAGCGGCGGACGGGUGAGUAACACGUGGAUAACCUACCUAUAAGACUGGGAUAACUUCGGGGAAACCGGAGCUAAUACCGGAUAAUAUAUUGAACCGCAUGGUUCAAUAGUGAAAGACGGUUUUGCUGUCACUUAUAGAUGGAUCCGCGCCGCAUUAGCUAGUUGGUAAGGUAACGGCUUACCAAGGCAACGAUGCGUAGCCGACCUGAGAGGGUGAUCGGCCACACUGGAACUGAGACACGGUCCAGACUCCUACGGGAGGCAGCAGUAGGGAAUCUUCCGCAAUGGGCGAAAGCUUGACGGAGCAACGCCGCGUGAGUGAUGAAGGUCUUCGGAUCGUAAAACUCUGUUAUUAGGGAAGAACAAAUGUGUAAGUAACUAUGCACGUCUUGACGGUACCUAAUCAGAAAGCCACGGCUAACUACGUG